CGCCGCCUCCUGCUUGUCCUGCCUCGUCUCAGAGGAGAACAGUCCACGGUCUUCUUCUCUUACUGGACUCCGCCUCAUCACACUCAUUUUUAUUCAUCGAGCGGGUUAGCAGCUUUCAUCCUCUUCAUCAUUUGGUACCCGGGUGGUGGUUUCACAUUGCUACGCAGAGACCGCUCAAGAGAGGGGUGAAGGAAACACCACACACUUAGAUUCAGGCAACGUGACCGCAAGCCACGAGAGAGGAGGCACAGCUACAGGAGCGAGCGAGGCUGAAAAUGACCGGCUGUUGAGACCAGCGCUGCUUUGGGAUUUCAACCUCAAACACAACAGGCACAGCAAGACUUUGUCGUUUGUUGCCAAGUCGCCUUGGCCAGCAGACCAACUGUCCCUUGAUGGAAUAACUUUCAACAGUGAGGAACUAUUCUUUUCUUCUCGGAACAGGAAGCCAGACUUUAGGCCAGACAUGGCUGUCAACCCCCUGAAGGGCACACAAACAUACACACAAACACACACACUUAUACACUUAAUCAUGAAGUAAAAAGCUACAGGGAGCAGCUGUUUGUGCCUUAGAAACACUCACACGUAUUUCCGAGCUGCUUGUUAAUGCAGCAGUAUCACAGUGAGUGUGUGUGUGUGUGCAGGUGAGUAAAGCAGGUGUUUUAUCAGUCAUCAGAUGAACAUGUGCAUCGCAGACAGCUGGCAUUAAGUGGGUGCUGCAGGGGUCUUACCCUGGGAUUACACUUUAGGAGAUUAGAGCUAAACAGCAGUCACCUCAGGCUCUGCAGCCUCAUGAAACUUCUGCCGCAAGCCAAGAGGGCACGCACACCCACACACACACACUGCAGCACAGCUGUAGAACACAAUUAAAUUAGAGCAAACUGGCAGACGGUGUGCAACCCGAGCUUAAAACCAUACACACAUUAAAUCACAGGGAGCGAAAACAAAAAUAAACACACACACACACUCUCCUGCACUGUGGGCCGCAGUACUAGCCCCCACCCUUUCCUCCCAUCGCCCUCCCAAAAGCCAGCUGGAAAGAAGAUGAGAUUUUGGGGCUGAUUGGUUUAGUCUUUUUUCCCUCCCAUCACAUCCUCUGGGCAUCUCUACAACCACCACUGUCGCCUUCUCUGAGCACAGUGUCACCUCUGGAUAAACCAUCAUCAUAAAAAUCUUUCCCAUUGGACAUUGGAGCAAAGAAAGGACUUCUUUGGACUUUUUUUGUGGACGGUGUGUCGGCAGAACGCACAGCUACACACCUGACGUGUGGACGGUCUGAGCUGCACAUCAUCGAAACAGCAUCAGGAGCAUUUGGAUUUUCUUUUCGCUCGUCAUCCCUCUAAGAUUUCAUCCUUUACCCCAAAGAAUUAUAAUUUUCAGUCCCAACUUUUUUGACUUUGUGUCACUGAUAGUGUGGAGAGGGACAGCAACAGUGCAGUGCUUUGAACUUGACACAGCAGCUUUUUAAACCGAGCAGGUCUCAGAGCCUCUGUGAAACACGGAGAGAGGCUGUGUGAGGUAACCCUGGAGAGGAAAAAAAAAACCUGAGAACACCUCACAUAUCUGUGGAAACUUACAGAAAUGGAGAGAAGUGACAAAAUAGGUAUGUUUUGAGUCUAGGGUAUCUAGAGAUGUGAUGGAACACCGGUCAGCGUAGACCACCUCCCUUCUACCGCUCCUCCUCCUCCUCUCUUCUUCUCUCCCUCUCUCUGCUGCUCUCAACUAGUCUGCCAGCUUUCUCUGGCUGCGUCGCUUCAGUGCAGCGAGAGAGACAGAAAGAGAGAGAAAUCGGAAUGCUAGAGUCGAGCGCGACAGAGAGAAACAUGGAGGACCUGCUGCAGCCAUUCACGUUGUGCACUUGGUUUCACUGAAGAUGGACGUUGCAAUUAAUCUGAAAAAAAAGAGAGGGAAAAGAGAGAGAGAGAGUGGGAGCCAGAGAAGAGAAAGUUAGAAAGUGAAGAAGAAGAAAAUAAACACAGGAUUGAAAGGUGGAGAACGCAGAGAGUAAUCACAACUGAAGGAGGGAUCACCUCUCGUUGAGGGUAAAGGACUUCCGUGGCAGUCAGAGUACAGCUGGGUGUAAUUCAGCUUCGACUCGUGUGUGUGUGUGUGUGUGUGUGUGUGUGUGUGUGUGUGUGUGUG